AGUCCCCUGGGGUAGUUUGGCCAAUCCUCUGGGCCUUUGGAGCCCAGGACGCGAGUUCAAAUCUCGCGGGGACAA
rfam:Halovirus HVTV-1, complete genome.